rnacentral:tRNA from 1 species
GGUGAGAUGGCUGAGUUUUAAGCGGUGGAUUGUAGUCCCAUGAACAGAGGUUUGAGUCCUCUUCUCACCA